rnacentral:rRNA from 1 species
UACAGAGGUCUCAAGCGUUGUUCGGAUUCAUUGGGCGUAAAGGGUGCGUAGGCGGCGCGGUAAGUCGGGUGUGAAAUCUCGGAGCUUAACUCCGAAACUGCAUUCGAUACUGCCGUGCUUGGGGACUGGAGAGGAGACUGGAAUUUACGGUGUAGCGGUGAAAUGCGUAGAUAUCGUAAGGAAGACCAGUGGCGAAGGCGGGUCUCUGGACAGU